CCUCUUUCACUGUCUCUCCCUCUAUUUCUCUCUCUCUCUCUUUCUGCUUUCUCGUACCAUUCCUUCCCUUUCUUUGUCUGCUGAAGGAGAAGGCAGGAGAGGAGGGUGCAAAUGUGAGAGAAAGCAAGAGAGUGUGUUGAGAGAGAGAUAGAGGGGUAAGAAAGGACAAGACCGAAUGGACUAGGCACUCUCGCCUUUUUAACAAUAGAAGCUCACUUCACUUCCUGUCUGUCAGUAGCGUUCCGUAAAGGUGAAACAUUUAAAGGUACAUUGCGCUCGAGGAGUGGGCAAACAGGAAGCAGUGCCCUUCUCUUCCUUUCUGACCUGCAAGAAAGGCUCAAAUUGAAAGCGAGGGAAAGUGUAGUGAUCUCUGUUGAGAUCUGCAGUGGAGGGAUUCUCAGACUCAUCAGCGCGGCUGAAUGUAUCACAUAGCAGAGCAGUAUUCUGGACGAAACUCGUGGGAUUCCUUCCCCUCUUCUGGGCCGAAACGAGCACCAUGGGCCCCAGGCAGCAACCGGCACUGGGCCCCUCCAUCCAGGU
ensembl:lncRNA